AUUAACGCUGGCGCGAUCGUCGCGAACCUGUCUGGGCCACGACAGGCUUCCAUUACGCAACGCAGCGCGGUCGGCCAUGGCGGAGGCCGAUCAGAUCACCCCAUCUAGGGUUUACUCCCUACUGCCCCUGUCACAGUACGAAAACAUACUUGCAUGGUGCACUAGAGGCUUCAUGAAGCCUUCAAAGAUGGCUGUGAAAUUCAAGCUUUCAUUCGCCCACAAAUGAUGGCUGCUUUACUUGCAUUGUGGAAUCUUGGUGGGCUCUAGUUUAACAGGCUUCUGAAGUUCUCAAAAUGCAUCGCAUUCCGUCAACCUGAGCUUUUAGAGACAUAGCAUAGUCCAAAGUUUCAUCUAAUAAGGAGAAGCCAUCCAUGGACUCACCUCCAGGUGAAUGUGGUCAAUGCUACUACAGCUCAGGGUGAUGUAAUAAUGACAGAGAAUUGCCAAUGAAUGUUCAGUUAGACUGCAAGGACAAGUUCAGAUCAGUGGCAGAGGAUUAGCAGUUAUAUUUAGUAAAACACUGUAGCAUUUCUCUUCAAAGCUCAUAUCAAACAAUCUAAGUUAAUAUGAUCUUCUGCAGCAGUGCUGGUACAGAGAAUGAUGUAGCUGAACCAUUUGUGUCCAUUAUUGCGGUCUGAUACAAUACAAUAAUGCCAGUAGACUCACAUGUGAGUUCAUGAUUCCAGAUGUCAUAAAUUUGUCAUCUCUGUCACUCUCUUGCUCCCAUGCAUCUCAUGUUGAAUUAGGGUUCUGUUAUUUCUACUGGUCUUUUUGUUGUGAUAUUUGGGCAAAAUCAUGAGUUGAGGUUUCUGUAAUAUACAGCUUCAUCUUCUCCAUAUCCAGGGAGUAAACCGAUGGUUAGGGCUCAAUUAAUCAGUGAGCAAAGCUUUACAGGGGAUUUAGGUUUCACUAUUUAGAAAACAUUGGGUACUGUUAUAUAAGAAUGUUCAGAAAAAAGUUUGGUGAACGGACCAUCACGCUUCUGUUGAGAUAGUGUUUGUUUCUUUGAGACACCGAAUCCAUCAUCCAUUUUGAUUGACUAAUCAAUUAGAUCGAACUUCACAUGGAUGUGACAUGGAAGAGUUGUUCAAUUUAUGACAAGUUUGUUUGGUGAUGUUUCCAUAGGAUAAUAAAUGUGGUAUUCAUACUGAUUGAUCCUCCAUUACAUAGUUAUCAUAGAGAGGUGACACAAAUCAACUGAUCACAAUGUCUUUCAAGAAACUACAUCUCUUAGUUCAUGUCACAUGGCUUCUCAAUGACAUUAAGCACCAGAAUGAUAUGAGAUAGAGGAAUUCAAUUCUAGCAGCUACUUGAUUUGUCAGAGAUACUCAUACCAAGGGAAUUGUUCUUUUGUAUCUUCAAGGGGGAUACACCAGUUGGUUCCACAACUUGGAUGCUGCAGGAUCAGGAAAACAUGGUGAUGAAUGUGGUGCACUCUUUUCUGCCUCUCUCAGAUGGCUUUGGCAAAAGGAAGAUAUUUCCCACAUGGUAUCCACAUGGGAGCUUCUACUCUUUGGGUCUCCACAUGAUUCCUUCGCUCAUCAUGUUCCCAAGUACAGCUUUUUCACUAUUCAGCUUUAAAAUUUGUGGCUUUCAAUGUUAUUAGUCAUGCUUCUUCUUCGCAUAAUCCUGGUGUCAUGUUACAUAUCAGCUAGAGAACAUCAGUUUCUUAGCGAAUUAAUUACAAGGAAAGACGACAAGUCUUCUCUAUUUAAUGUAAAUAUUAUGAUCAGUCUGGCCAAGUGCACACUAAUUAGCUUAGUUGACAAAUUACUUUCUUCCUCAAAGAUAGGGUUGUAAUCGAACUGAGCCGAAUUUUGAAGUAUU